rnacentral:rRNA from 1 species
UACGUAGGGUGCAAGCGUUGUCCGGAAUUAUUGGGCGUAAAGAGCUCGUAGGCGGUUCGUCACGUCGGCUGUGAAAUCCCGAGGCUCAACCUCGGGUCUGCAGUCGAUACGGGCGGACUUGAGUACUGCAGGGGAGACUGGAAUUCCUGGUGUAGCGGUGAAAUGCGCAGAUAUCAGGAGGAACACCGGUGGCGAAGGCGGGUCUCUGGACCGUAACUGACGCUGAGGCGCGAAAGCGUGGGGAGCAAACAGG